ACCCUAACCUCGCCACAAACCACCGCCGGUCGUCCUCUUUAUUACACUAAUACUGUUAAUCGACGUCGGUAAUCAACGUCAAACAAUCUCCCCGCUGUCAUCUUCAUCUUCCUUCGUUCUAUUUCUCCGAUUUUGAAUUGUUGAUCGUCGCCGGAGUUAACGUCAAUUAAACUCACCGCCGCGACUUAAAACAGUAACUGAUUUCGUAUUGUUAUUCAAUGGAGGAAGAAGAUGUGAUAAGCGAUGAAGAAAUCAAACAAGUUAAUAAUAAAAGGUGAUCGUGAGAGAUGUUAUGAGCAAAUCAGUAAUUGCUCAGCUUAAGGCACAUGACAAUGCUAUCGCAUCUUUAUGUUUUGAUCCUAGUGGUACCUUGUUGGUAACAGCUUCGGUUCAUGGUCAUAACUUUAAUGUUUAUCGUAUCAUGCAUGACCCAGAAAACAGUGCAUCUUAUGUACACCUUUACAGGCUUCAACGUGGUUUUACAAAUGCGGUCAUACAGGACAUAAGUUUUAGUGUGGACAGCUGUUGGAUCACUAUAAGUUUCUCAAGAGGCACCAACCAGUAUGGUGUAGAAUGUUACGGAUUUUGUGACAAUUAAGUAGAUGAAGUAGUGUGGAGUUAGUCAUGAGGUUUUUGCAAAAAUAGGUUCACGAAUAAUGUCGUAUGUUGGACUCGGUUAAAUGGAGUUUACUAGACACAAGGCGGUGAGACAUGGCAUGCGGUCAACAAAGUCAAAGAGCAAAUAUUGGAAUUGGGAAUGAAAUAAAAGUGGUGGUGGUCGAGUGCUACUGUCCAGCCGAAGGAAGAACGAAAGCCAAAUGGGCCGAAGCCCAUUCCACUCCUUGUGAGGUCGGCAGCAGCAGCCCAGCAAGAAAGAAACAAGAGUGGGCCCAGCCCACUGUGCGUAGCCCACCAGAAAAAGAGAAGGAGCAGCAGCCCAGAAAGAAUAAGAGAAGUGUUGGCCCUGGCCCAUUGUCUUGCGUGCAGCCCAGCCAAAGAAGAAAGGCCAAAGCCUGUGUACUCGUGAAAUAGGUCGGCGAGCAGAAUUCCCUAGCUUGGGAAUUAAGAAACCAAAACCAUAUAUAUAUAACUAGGCAGCUCGAGCCGCCCGAUGGGCGGCAUCGGUAUUUGAAAAUGUAUGCGUUAUCAAAUACUAUUCUUUCGUAAAAAUUUUAUAAAGAAACGCAUAAAUCAAAAGAAAACAAAAAAAAAAGUUUGAUAA